CGGAUCGCAUUAUGAUCAUAUUAUUAUGAUUGGCGAUAGAUCAUUCAAGUUUCUGACCUAUCAGCUUUCGACGGUAGUGUAUUGGACUACCGUGGCAGUGACGGGUAACGGGGAAUUAGGGUUCGAUUCCGGAGAGGGAGCCUGAGAAACGGCUACCACAUCUAAGGAAGGCAGCAGGCGCGCAAAUUACCCAAUCCUGACUCAGGGAGGUAGUGACAAGAAAUAACAACACUGGAAAUUUUAUUUCUAGUGAUUGGAAUGAUGGGAAUCCAAACCCCUUUCAGAGUAACAAUUGGAGGGCAAGUCUGGUGCCAGCAGCCGCGGUAAUUCCAGCUCCAAUAGCGUAUAUUAAAGUUGUUGCAGUUAAAAAGCUCGUAGUUGGAUAUCUGCUGGAAGCAAUCAGUCCGCCCUAUUUUAGGGUGUGCACUUGAUGAAUUCUGGCAUCUAUUAUUCUUAAUAUAAUGAUUAUUGAAUUGAUUUUCAAUAAUCAUUAUUAGGAAUAAUACAGUUACUUUGAGAAAAUUAGAGUGUUUGAAGCAGGCUUAUUGCCUUGAAUACUGCAGCAUGGAAUAACAAUAUAGGAUUUCGGUUCUAUUAUUUUGUUGGUUUGUAGGACUGAAAUAAUGAUUAAUAGGGACAGUUGGGGGCAUUCGUAUUUAACUGUCAGAGGUGAAAUUCUUAGAUUUGUUAAAGACGAACUACUGCGAAAGCAUUUGCCAAGGAUGUUUUCAUUAAUCAAGAACGAAAGUUAGGGGCUCGAAGACGAUCAGAUACCGUCGUAGUCUUAACCAUAAACUAUGCCGACUAGAGAUA
rnacentral:rRNA from 1 species